UGGGGAAUAUUGGACAAUGGGCGCAAGCCUGAUCCAGCCAUGCCGCGUGAGUGAUGAAGGCCCUAGGGUUGUAAAGCUCUUUCACCGGUGAAGAUAAUGACGGUAACCGGAGAAGAAGCCCCGGCUAACUUCGUGCCAGCAGCCGCGGUAAUACGAAGGGGGCUAGCGUUGUUCGGAUUUACUGGGCGUAAAGCGCACGUAGGCGGGCUAUUAAGUCAGGGGUGAAAUCCCGGGGCUCAACCCCGGAACUGCCUUUGAUACUGGUAGUCUUGAGUUCGAGAGAGGUGAGUGGAAUUCCGAGUGGAGAGGUGAAAUUCGUAGAUAAUCGGAGGAACACCAGUGGCGAAAGCGGCUCACUGGCUCGAUACUGACGCUGAGGUGCGAAAGCGUGGGGAGCAAACAGG
rnacentral:rRNA from 1 species